rnacentral:rRNA from 1 species
UACGUAGGGUGCAAGCGUUGUCCGGAAUUACUGGGCGUAAAGAGCUCGUAGGCGGUUUGUCGCGUCGGCUGUGAAAACCCGGGGCUCAACCCCGGGCCUGCAGCCGAUACGGGCAGACUAGAGUUCGGCAGGGGAGACUGGAAUUCCUGGUGUAGCGGUGGAAUGCGCAGAUAUCAGGAGGAACACCGGUGGCGAAGGCGGGAUCCUGGGCCAGUACUGACGCUGAGGAGCGAAAGCGUGGGGAGCAAACAGG